UUUGGCUCCAAAAUUGCAGCAUUAAAUGCUAAGUGAGAUAACCCUUAAAAAAUUUGGCUCCAAAGUAUUUGGCUGUUUGAAAUUCAAAAAUCAAACCUAAAUGUUUAUACGGUUCCCAACUAAUCCCAUCUUUUUGUUUUCCCAUGCAGGUGCACCGAAUGCUUCCCAAGUUUAUCCCUAUUUUCUAGCCUAAUUUAUGGAAAUUGCAACCAAUUAAUAGGAACGACUACGAGUACCGAGUACCGCAUCUCAUUGGAAACAUGUUCAACUCCACACAUGUGAAGAAGCACGCUACAUAUCUCUUCUCUAAGUCACCUUGCUCUUUACCCUUGAACACAACAGUUCCAUUCACCCAAGUUUCUAAAGAUUAUCAACAUAGGUAUGUAAUUUGUUCUUUCUCAAUUUCUUAUUUUCUUUCUAAAUUUGACAUCGAUUUUGAUUAACGAUUUCAUUUGCAAUUUGACUGACAAUUCCAUAGUUAAUUUUAUACUAUUCCAAUUCAAUUUUGAUUUCAGCUUUUGAUUCAUUUAUACUUUAGAUUUUAGAUUGCAUCUCUAUUAGUCUCUUUUGUUUUCAUUCUCUUUGAGUUGAUUCUCAUAAUUUUUUGUGUGCCCUUCUCUGUUCAUGUCAAUCACUAAUUUAUUUCUUCAAUUUUUAUGGUCUGCUUUUGUUCUUAUUUUCUUCCUUUUUUUUAUCUUUGACAACCGAAGUGGAAAAGAUUAACGUGUGCCAUGCUCAAUUGAUUUUGUUCAUUUUAUAAGUAAAUAAUUUUCCCACAUAUCUUCUUCAGCUCCACGCUUCUCAUUUGCUUCUUCAGGUCAACUUCUUGAUUGAUCUCCUCUAUUUUAGAAGCAUGAUCUUAAAACGGUCAUUUAUCUCCUCUAUUUUAUUUUUCAUGAUGCUUAUGGGUUUUGCAUUAUGUAUAUUUAUCAUUUAUUUUUGCACUGUUUUCAACUUACUUUGCAAACCAAUUUGUAGUCUGAACCUUUUGAAAUUUGAAGGCUUCCUGUAGAGGUUACAUAUUUCAGUUUUAUUGUUUUUGCCUCCAGUUUGAGAUUCCCACUAUUUUCUUUGUUCACUUUCAAUCUAAAAAAAUCCUUUAUUUUAAUUUUGCUAAACUCCAUUUUAAUUGUUAGUGUUCAUAAUCUUGGAGUUUACUUGGUAGUGUCUUUUUUUUUUUUUUUUUUGAGAAAACUUGCUUGGUAGUGUAUGACAUCCUCAUAUGUAACAAAUGAUUUAGUCUCCUCAUUUGUUUUUUCUGUUUUCAUAUGGUGUUUGCUUAUAUUGAUUAUUUUAGUUGUUUUGGGUGUUUGCUUAUAUUGAUUUUUUUUAUUUGAUUGCAUGAUGAUAUCCAUGAAGCAAGAUGAUAGGUAUGAAGACUGUAGCUAAAUGUUGGAAUAGAAAAGAAAAAAAGACUGAGUUUUGAUCGAGUAAGAGAGCCUUGGAAAAGAGCUUUUAAUUAAGUUUGACAACAAGCUAGAGCAAGCAUGAUAGGAGUGACUCUGGUG
rnacentral:lncRNA from 1 species